rnacentral:tRNA from 1 species
GUCUUUGUAGUAUAUAUAAAUACC